CUUAGCCAACGACACGUGCCUU
rnacentral:siRNA from 1 species